rnacentral:rRNA from 1 species
GACGAACGCUGGCGGUGUGCUUAACACAUGCAAGUCGAACGGUAAGGCCCUUUCGGGGGUACACGAGUGGCGCACGGGUGAGUAACACGUGAGUAACCUGCCCUCAUCUCUGGGAUAACAGUCGGAAACGGUUGCUAAUACUGGAUAUGAGCUUGCAAGGCAUCUUGUGGGUUGGAAAGAUUUUUUUUGGUUGGGGAUGGACUCGCGGCCUAUCAGCUUGUUGGUGAGGUAGUGGCUCACCAAGGCUUCGACGGGUAGCCGGCCUGAGAGGGCGACCGGCAACAUUGGGAAGGAGAUACGGGCCAAACUCCUGCGGGAGGCAGCAGUGGGGAAUAUUGCACAAUGGACGGAAGUCUGAUGCAGCAGCGCCGCGUGCGGGAUGACGGCCUUCGGGUUGUAAACCGCUUUCAAUUGUGACGAAGCUUUUUUGUGACGGUAGCAGUAGAAGAAGCACCGGCUAACUACGUG